rnacentral:rRNA from 1 species
CCCAGUCGUGGGGGAUAACGCAGCGAAAGUUGUGCUAAUACCGCAUACGAUCUAUGGAUGAAAGCGGGGGAUCGCAAGACCUCGCGCGAUUGGAGCGGCCGAUAUCAGAUUAGCUAGUUGGUGGGGUAAAGGCUCACCAAGGCGACGAUCUGUAGCUGGUCUGAGAGGACGACCAGCCACACUGGGACUGAGACACGGCCCAGACUCCUACGGGAGGCAGCAGUGGGGAAUUUUGGACAAUGGGCGCAAGCCUGAUCCAGCCAUGCCGCGUGCAGGAUGAAGGCCUUCGGGUUGUAAACUGCUUUUGUCAGGGAAGAAAUCCUCUAGGUUAAUACCCUUGGGGGGAUGACGGUACCUGAAGAAUAAGCACCGGCUAA